UGACACUGUGGAACAAUGCAAAGGGAUGUGGCGCAGUUUGGUAGCGCGUUUGUUUUGGGUACAAAAUGUCACGG
rnacentral:tRNA from 10 species